AAAUGCGAUAAGUAAUGUGCAUUGCAGAAUUCAGUGAAUCAUCGAAUCUUUGAACGCACCUUGCGCUCCUUGGUAUUCCUUGGAGCAUGCCUGUUUGAGUAUCAUGAAAUCUUCAAAGUAAAUCUUUUGUUAACUCAAUUGGUUUCUACUUUGGUAUUGGAGGUCUUUGCAGCUUCACACCUGCUCCUCUUUGUUCAUUAGCUGGAUCUCAGUGUUAUGCUUGGUUCCACUCGGCGUGAUAAGUUAUCUAUCGCUGAGGACACUGUAAAAGGUGGCCAAGGUAAAUGCAGAUGAUCCGCUUCUAAUAGUCCAUUGACUUGGACAAUACUUUUAUGAUCUGAUCUCAAAUCAGGUAGGACUACCCGCUGAACUUAAGC
rnacentral:misc_RNA from 1 species